GGGGUUAGGGUCCGCGUACGGGAAGAUGUUCGGUGGGGGGAACGCAGCACUGAAGGGGUUUGAUUCCCUUUAGACCACACGUGUAAUCCAAUGAAUAAAUUUAUGUUUCUCUGAGGCAUGUUGGUUUAAAGCAUAUAUUUUAAAGUGCACCAUACUGCAUAAACGGUGUGUUUAUAAUCUGAGAAGAACAUGUGAGCCAUGAAAUCUGUGAAACAUGAAUGACUCGUGUCUUGUGUCAGCGUUUCUCAUGCUCAAAUACCUUACAUAUGAAAUAAGACAUGAAUACAUAUACAGUAACCUUCAGGCAGGUAUUGAUUCAGUCUUUUGAAAUAAUCCUGUUGUUUUUAUUUCCCUUCAAGUGCGACUGUCUUUAAUUUUGAUCCCAUAGCUUAGAUUAGCACAUGUCACUAUUGGUGCAUUUAGAGCUCAUCAAUACUAUUAGUUGCCCGUCUCAUAGUUUUACACAAAAACAAACAGGAGAGGAUCCAAGUGUAGACUUGACAAAUGAAAAGUUGAUUUAACAAAAAACAUAAUUUGGAACAACAAAAAAUUUACCUCAAAUGGAAAUUUCCAAUUGAAAUUGAGUUAGUCUUUGACUCCGAGCCUCAGUCGGCGUAGGAUCAGCCACUCCAGAGUUUUUUAUAAUGUGUGAAGUAAGGGCCACUGGUCUGUAGUCAUUGUCUGACAGAGCAUGAUGAUAAUAAACGACUGAUCUUAGUACAAUUUAUGUUAAAGUCAAAGACCCACGCAUGUUUUUCUUGUUGUCUUCAUGUUUAUAUGGUCUUUUUCUGUUGCUAGAGGACAUAUCAUGAGAAAACUAAGUGUGAAAUAGCAUUUCUGAGUAUUCCUGUAUUCAAAUCUCUGAAUCUCUGGCAGACCGAAACGGCAACGGCAGACUCAGACACAGUGAGAUUUCCUACAUCACAAAACCAAGCUCCGCCCCCAGAGCCCCGCUAUGCAGGCCAGACUCAGGGAAGUAGAGAGGACGAUCACCGAACAAUCGUGUUUGAGACAGUAGUGUCUGAGAGCUGAGUAGCUGCUAUGUUACCUGCUACUUCUACUACACUGACAAUGUUAGACUACAAGCUAGCGUGAAGAGGAGCAUGAAGAGGAGUGUGUAGAGCAGCGCUGUCUCCGCCCACGACUCAGAGGUGAAUUGCUAAUGAACUACUGGAGCUCUGCAGAAAAAAAGACCUUAAAAAUGACACAGUUAACAUGAUUUAGGAUAUAAACUUCAUAAUCACAAUUUAAAGACCACUGAGAACACUUUAAGUGGUAAAAUGUAGGUAGUAAGAUCUCUUUAAUGCAAUGUUUCAUGGUUAGUAAAGUCAGUCAAGUUUUGAGGAUGGACGCUCUUAACAUGUCUGUGAUUAAAGUCACACCUUGACCUUUUUGUUGUGCUGAAGUCGAGGAUUUUGAAAAUGUAAGUAGUGAUUGGCAGGCAUCAACAGCUGGUAGCUUUCACCUUACUGCCUGACGAGAACUUUUUUAAUAGUAUUGACUUUCAAGUUUAUGCUCAAACAGAUUUAUGAGGAAAACUGUUUUCAUAGACUUCGCUCACACUGCCACACAGUUUUUAUGAUCCUGACUGAAUCCACUAUAUUGUGUCGAAACUCACUUUUCUGGUGUAGUAAAUAAUUAAUUUUGUUUAGCUGUGAGCAGGGUGAACCGACCACUUAGCAAAAAAAUAGACACAGUGAGGUCAAGAACAGGGGGCAUCGCAAGCUUUACUUUUCGCUCUCGAUUCUGUUCCCCUCAACAUUCAGGGAUACUCCAAGCACCCUGUGGACAAAUGAGACAGCUCAUCAUAAUGACUGACGCAUGUGGGGCGUGAACUUGACCAAAUGAGAGGGGAAGAGGUGAGGACUCAUGAUUAAUUGUCCUGACUCGAGGCAAAAGGUUAUUUUUUUGUGAGGAGGAAGACGAACAAAUGUCUUCCAGUGAGUUUAAAGAAGUUUUAAAAAGUGUUGCUUUGUUUAAAAACUCAGUCAGUGCAAAGAGAGAAUAAAAGUAUCAUUUUGAGUGCGCUCUGAAAGAGCACGCUCAUUAUGAUAUACAAGAGAUUUUAAAGAACAUGAAUGAAUGUUUAACUCGAAAUCUAAUCAGCCUUUGUAUUUCAUCUUUUUUAUGUCAGAUUUAAACUUUCAAGUCCCUUUUAGUGAAUGUUUAAUUCAUCCCUCGCCUCAAAGUUUUAAACCCGCAUGAGUUAAAUGUAUGCAAAUGAACUCACAGUGACUUCCUUUCCCAUUAACUCACAAUGUCUCCUGCUGGGUGUGUCCUCGCUCUAACCCCAUGUGAUGGGAGGUGAGCGGAAAAAAGAAGCGUCCCAGGUCGUAUUCUCCAAUGACCCGAUAUAUUGCCUCCAUCUGAGCUCAAGAACAGAAAGUCCCCACACAUUUUUUCUCUUUUCCUCUGGUAAACAUGUUGAAAAGGUCUGUCUCUUUUGGCACAGAUACUACAACCAUUAAAUAAUUCAUGCCCUUUGGAGUUGAUUUAUGUAAAAAGACUGUGAAAGAUUUUUUGGAAUACAUUUAAGGAUUUGUGUUCUUAGGCGCUAAGUCUGCUUUCCUCUGUCUGAUAUGUGGGUUUUUCCAGAAUAAGGUGGCCGGGGAGCCAAGAAGGCCUUAUGCUUUUGCUGAUUAGUCUGUUGGAUUUAUUUAUUUAUUUCAAUAUAAGAAAAAAAAGAUCCAUUAUCUAAAGAGAGACAGGCACAGAGAGACUGAAUACUGCAAAAGAGAUAAAUCGUUAUAUAGAUAUUUGAUGUUUGGACCUGAUUAUCUGAUGAAGACACUAUGGCAAAACAUCAUGAAUAAACUAAAUGAGUUUAUUUUAGAGGGUUACAAAAUUUAAAAAAGGCCUCCUUUGCUUUUUUAAUCUGCUGGUUUUUACAUACAGUUUAGAUUUCAGCAACAUAAUCACUUUAAAUCAAAGUCGGGAUACAUCACGGUUUUAAUUAAAAUUUCUGUAACCUACAUUUUUCAAAAACAUCAUCACAGGUGCAACGACUCUUUUGUUCUUGUGGUACUUCCAUGGACUGUAUAUACUAUGGAAAACUUGGUUCCGCAUUCCGUCAUUGUACGAAUUUGAGGUCGAAUUGCUCUUGGUAACUCUGGGAUUUUAUCCACUUCCUGGAACGACCACUUGCGCAGUAGCGUUUUUCGCAUUCGGCGUGACUUUGGGAGAGUCCCCGAGAGUCACUGUGAUGACGCUCGGCUCAGACAGCAUAGUCCCGGGUGGGGUGAGCUACGCAAUUUUUUGUACGCCCAUAGGCUGUAUCAAGUGUCAAUCAUAGAAAACAUGAACCCCCUAAUAACUUUUAAAAACGGAGCUGCACAGAAAAAAAGAGGACUUUAUAAAAUUUAGAUUGUGUGAAAUUGAUUUCCAAAGUUUGUCCACAUCUCCACAGGGAUUGCUGGAGGAGGCAGGAUUUAUGACCUAUACUGCAGCCCGUCACCAGAGGGUGCUGUUCUCACUGUGGCUUCACCCAGCGAGGAGGCAGACGGCGUCCAUUCUAUAUACAGUAUACGGGUACAAUAUGAUCAUGACUUAUUUAAAGAGUGAAUAUUAGCUUUAAAGCGUCUGUAAGGAACUGAAGUUUGUGUGGCUUUUGCGCCCCCUGUGGACAAAGUGAUACCUCUAAACCUUUUGCUAAUGUUGUCCUGUGCAAAUCUGAGGAGUGUUGUCCAACAAAAACCUCAUCUUGAACAUUUGUUGUGGAGAAAGUAAAGUCACCAUCUUUAACUGUACUUUUUCAGGUUUUUUUAAUAAAGCAUCAUUUUCAAUUUGAGUCUGCGUCUAUCUGUUGUUCUCAAUGUUUUACACAACACCUGUGUUUGUAACAUGUCCCUCAUGAAUCGAAAAUAAAUCCCAAAGCAAUUUUAGCAAUUUUAAAUGAGCGCCAAUUAUGUGGGGUAGCAGGAAGCUAAAUUGAGCGGCGUCUGAUUGCAUAAAAAUGGUGUGGUAGCAUGACUGUGACGCACAGGUCUCCACAUACAAACAAACAAACGGUAGAAAGCUGUAAAAGCAAGGGUGUUUUCAUUGUUUGAAGUACAUCGCCUUAAGGCUCAUUUAUGCUCCACGCUACGUAUCAUCAUCCGAUUAAAAUAAUGGCCUGAGUCAUUUUUCGAUGGAAACGAGUUUUUAUCAACUCUUUUUUGCCAAUAAAUGACUUUGGCCAUUAUUUUAAUAGGGUGAAAAUAUGAAUCUGGAUAUGGAUGGAGCGCUUUGUUCUUUUCGUCCAUAUUUUUUCGUCCGGAGCAGUACCAUCGGAGACCGUGGGGGCAGUGUUGCAGCUCUCACUACCCGGCUGACAUCCUCAAGUACUGAAAAUGACGAUCGUCAUCAGUUUCUCUCAUCGGUACUACAGCAAAGAAUUCUCCGUCCUCCGACUGCGAGGCAUUUAGUGGCCCGACCAACAUCCGCCUCCUCCAACGCUGCCUGUUUUUCAGUCUCCUGUGCAAAAUAUACAUUCUCACUAGCUUCUCCACAGUCGCCAUGUUUGUUUUUGUUCGUUAUUGUCAGAAGGACGCGUGGAAGUAUGUGGGCAGUGACGGAACCAUCGUUUAAAACGGAUGCAUACAUUUUCAUACGUAUGGCGAGCAUAAAUAAGCCUUCAGCCUCUAGCUCAGUUUGCUAAUUGUUGUGAUAUAUUAGGGUGACCAUAUUCUUACUUCCCAAAAAGAGGAAACGACUACCCGGGGGUGGAGUCACAGAGUCGCACAAAGUAAAUUUUGAGAGUUUUUCGUGUCUAAGAGUCUAAGUGACACAAACUCGAAACUUCCAUACAAAACCGCGGACAUCUGAAGGAUUUUAUAAACUUCCCCGGACAAGCCCAGACAGCCCCAAAAAGAGGACAUGUCCCCACCUACCAUCCUGUAUGUUUCUGUCAAAAAUCAGAUUCUUGUAAACUGGUACAAGGACGGAUCGAGGUCCAGUUAAAUCGCCUUAUCGUGAUAACUGUAGCUGGACAACUGUGCAUGUUGAUGCACUGAGAGGGACAGAGACCGGACAAUGGACUUUGGUGACUCCUUGAUACUGUCUUGGCUGUAGAAUAAGACAGUAUGACACAGGCAGCGUAGUAUCUUACCUUCACCAAGGACACAUCUGUUGUAGGAAAACACAUGGGAGGGAAAGUGCAGCCUUUAAAAGUUUCAUCAUAAGAAAGAAGUGAACCAUUCGACCAGCAAAAUGUGGUGAAACCUCCGGAGAAAAAAGAAAAAAAACAUGACCAGUGGUCAGAACGCCACUUUCACAGGGAAGAAUACAUUAUUUAGCAGCAUUGGCUAAACUGCAUUCCAUGUCAGCUGAACCUCAUCGCUCCUGUGUACACUUGUUUGAUGAUUUAUUCACUCAGUGCAGGCCUGUUGGAUGUCAAUACAUCGUCUUUGCAAUCAUCCACGCAUGGCCCUCUCUCCCAGGUUGUAGGAGGAGGCUGUAGGGUUAAAAACCAGAGGUCGUGGAGUAGUUGGUUUUAAUCACAACCUUGUGAACAUGCAUUUGUUUUUCCUGAACUACAAGGAAUGUCAGUGACCUAUAGGGUGAUGCUCCAAAGCCAUCAAACGUUAAUAUUUAACAGCUUUUAGAGUACGAUUAAAGCCCGAGUGGAUUUGUUGAUGAAGUAAAAGCAGUUUCCCCCUCCAAUGGGAAC
rnacentral:lncRNA from 1 species